UACAGAGGGGGCAAGCGUUGUUCGGAAUUACUGGGCGUAAAGGGCGCGUAGGCGGCCUUCUAAGUCGAACGUGAAAUCCCCGGGCUCAACCCGGGAACUGCGUCCGAUACUGGAAGGCUUGAAUCCGGGAGAGGGAUGUGGAAUUCCAGGUGUAGCGGUGAAAUGCGUAGAUAUCUGGAGGAACACCGGUGGCGAAGGCGACAGCCUGGACCGGUAUUGACGCUGAGGCGCGAAAGCCAGGGGAGCAAACGGG
rnacentral:rRNA from 1 species